rnacentral:rRNA from 1 species
UACAGAGGGUGCGAGCGUUGUCCGGAAUUAUUGGGCGUAAAGAGCUCGUAGGUGGCGGGUCACGUCGGGUGUGAAAGCCCGGGGCUUAACUCCGGGUCUGCAUUCGAUACGGGUCUGCUGGGGUCCGGCAGGGGAGACUGGAAUUCCUGGUGUAGCGGUGAAAUGCGCAGAUAUCAGGAGGAACACCGGUGGCGAAGGCGGGUCUCUGGGCCGGUACCGACGCUGGAGGAGCGAAAGCGUGGGGAGCGAACAGG